AAUUUUGUGGGUGAUUUCAAAUCACCUAAAAGAGGUAGAGAUCUCGGAGGAGAAAAGAGAUGGAAAUUUAACCAACAUUCUCUCUUUUUUUUUUUUGUAAUUGAUAUGGCUAUAAAUAAACUCGAGGUAUUUUCGUAUUUUUAUUUUUUAUUCUUGUUUUAUUUUUCUCUCUCUAUAAUAAUUGCAUUCAAAAUUACCUACAAAUCACCAAUCCAAACGUUCUGUUUUGAAAAUAGCAAGUUUUAUUUAAAUUUCUUAUAUUUCAAAUCUUUAGCUAUUUUAA
rnacentral:lncRNA from 1 species